rnacentral:lncRNA from 1 species
GUGCAUAGGUGGUACUUGAGAGCACUAGAGCAGGGGCACAUACCAAUACCUCCAACCUACUGAUUCCCACCCCCACCGCUACCCACACACCUGACAUAAAAUGACUCCUUACCUGCUCGCAUGUGGACAGAUGCCUCACACACCAGCAGGCAGACACCUCCCGUAUACAGCCCCCUCAUCAGUACUGUCACCUCCCCCGUACACUGACGGGUCACCCCUCGACCCCCAUCACCUGCUAGUGUCAGUGUGCACACAUGUGCAUCCUGCCCACACAGCCUCACACAGGAGUCAAAACUCUCAGAGCUGGGGGAGGGACAGGCAGGGCUACAUUCUCUACCUAGAGAAGGCAGGUGUCUGUGUGUCCCAGGGCUGUCAUAUCAAACGGCCACAAACCAGAGCCCUUAGACAACAGAAAGGCAUUCUCUCAGUCUGGAAGCCAGCAGUCUGAGAUCCAGGCUGGCAGGGCCACCCUCCUUGUUGAGGAUCUGGGAGGUCCUUCUUCUCCCAGCUUCAUCUCCAAGCGUUCCUUGGCUAUGGCUUCCUAUGUUUUUUUUUUUUAUUUUAUUUUUAUUUUUUAUUUUUUAUUGAUCAUUCUUGGGUGUUUCUCGCAGAGGGGGAUUUGGCAGGGUCACAGGACAAUAGUGGAGGGAAGGUCAGCAGAUAAACAAGUGAACAAAGUUCUCUGGUUUUCCUAGGCAGAGGACCCUGCGGCCUUCCGCAGUGUUUGUGUCCCUGGGUACUUGAGAUUAGGGAGUGGUGAUGACUCUUAACCAGCAUGCUGCCUUCAAGCAUCUGUUUAACAAAGCACAUCUUGCACCACCCUUAAUCCAUUCAACCCUGAGUGGAUACAGCACAUGUUUUAGAGAGCACAGGGUUGGGGGUAAGGUCACAGAUCAACAGGAUCCCAAGGCAGAAGAAUUUUUCUUAGUACAGAACAAAAUGAAAAGUCUCCCAUGUCUACCUCUUUCUACACAGACACGGCAACCAUCCGAUUUCUCAAUCUUUUCCCCACCUUUCCCCCCUUUCUAUUCCACAAAACCACCAUUGCCAUCAUGGCCCGUUCUCAAUGAGCUGUUGGGUACACCUCCCAGACGGGGUGGUGGCCGGGCAGAGGGGCUCGUCACUUCCCAGUAGGGGCGGCCGGGCAGAGGCGCCCCUCACCUCCCGGACGGGGCCGCUGGCCAGGCGGGGGGCUGACCCCCCCACCUCCCUCCCGGAUGGGGCGGCUGGCCGGGCGGGGGGCUGACCCCCCCACCUCCCUCCCGGAUGGGGCGGCUGGCCGGGCUGGGGGGCUGACCCCCACACCUCCCUCCCAGACGGGGUGGCUGGCCGGGCAGAGGGGCUCCUCACUUCCCAGUAGGGGCGGCUGGGCAGAGGCGCCCCUCACUUCCCCGACGGGUCGACUGGCCGGGCGGGGGGCUGACCCCCCCACCUCCCUCCCGGACUGGGCGGCCGGCUGGGCGGGGGGCUGACCCCCCCACCUCCCUCCCGGACGGGGCGGCUGGCCGGACCGAGGGGCUCCUCACUUCNNNNNNNNNNUUGCCCAGGCUGGUCUUGAAUUCUUGGGUUCAAAUGAUCUUCUCUCUGAGGCCUCCCAAAGUACUAGGAUUACAAGCAUGAGCCACUGCACCUGCUCUA